rnacentral:rRNA from 1 species
GAGCGGUAGAGAGAAGCUUGCUUCUCUUGAGAGCGGCGGACGGGUGAGUAAUGCCUAGGAAUCUGCCUGGUAGUGGGGGAUAACGCUCGGAAACGGACGCUAAUACCGCAUACGUCCUACGGGAGAAAGCAGGGGACCUUCGGGCCUUGCGCUAUCAGAUGAGCCUAGGUCGGAUUAGCUAGUUGGUGAGGUAAUGGCUCACCAAGGCGACGAUCCGUAACUGGUCUGAGAGGAUGAUCAGUCACACUGGAACUGAGACACGGUCCAGACUCCUACGGGAGGCAGCAGUGGGGAAUAUUGGACAAUGGGCGAAAGCCUGAUCCAGCCAUGCCGCGUGUGUGAAGAAGGUCUUCGGAUUGUAAAGCACUUUAAGUUGGGAGGAAGGGCAUUAACCUAAUACGUUGGUGUCUUGACGUUACCGACAGAAUAAGCACCGGCUAACUCUGUGCCAGCAGCCGCGGUAAUACAGAGGGUGCAAGCGUUAAUCGGAAUU